UAGGGAAUCUUCGGCAAUGGACGCAAGUCUGACCGAGCAACGCCGCGUGAGUGAAGAAGGUUUUCGGAUCGUAAAACUCUGUUGUUAGAGAAGAACAAGGAUGAGAGUAGAAUGUUCAUCCCUUGACGGUAUCUAACCAGAAAGCCACGGCUAACUACGUGCCAGCAGCCGCGGUAAUACGUAGGUGGCAAGCGUUGUCCGGAUUUAUUGGGCGUAAAGCGAGCGCAGGCGGUUUGUUAAGUCAGAUGUGAAAUCCCCGGGCUCAACCUGGGAACUGCAUCUGAUACUGGCAAGCUUGAGUCUCGUAGAGGGGGGUAGUAUUCCAGGUGUAGCGGUGAAAUGCGUAGAGAUCUGGAGGAAUACCGGUGGCGAAGGCGGCCCCCUGGACGAAGACUGACGCUCAGGUGCGAAAGCGUGGGGAGCAAACAGG
rnacentral:rRNA from 1 species